CAGCCGCCGCGGGAAUACAGAGGGUGCAAGCGUUAAUCGGAAUUACUGGGCGUAAAGCGCGCGUAGGUGGUUCGCCAAGUUGGAUGUGAAAUCCCCGGGCUCAACCUGGGAACUGCAUCCAAAACUGGCGAGCUAGAGUAUGGUAGAGGGUGGUGGAAUUUCCUGUGUAGCGGUGAAAUGCGUAGAGAUCGGGAGGAACAUCAGUGGCGAAGGCGGCCAUCUGGGACAACACUGACGCUGAGGCACGAAAGCGUGGGGAGCAAACAGGAUUAGAUACCCGCGUAGUCCCUGUCUCUUAUAC
rnacentral:rRNA from 1 species